rnacentral:lncRNA from 1 species
UGGGGCUUAGACAAGGGGUGGGGGUGGCAGUGGGGACGCAGAGGAGGGUUCGGACGUAGAAUCCGCAGGACUUGAUCAUCAGGUGGGUCCAGGAGAUGGAGGAGUCAAGGAUGACUGCACUGGCUCUGACUUGAAUGACAGGGUGGGUGACAUUGCCAGGGACCAAAGGAGGAAACUCUCCCAAGGAAGCAGGUUUAGGGGACGGAAUCCAUGUUGAGUUUGGAGUGAUUGUAGAAUGCUGGGAGGAGAUAUUCUCUGGGUUCAGAGAAAGAGAUCUGAGCCAGGAAUACAUGCAUGUUGUGGGGACUGAAGCCAGGAGAGGCAAUGAGAGCAUCCAGGGACAGGAAGAAGAGAGGUGGGCCUAGGACAAAGCUCCGAGGGGUGAGCAGAGGAGGAGGAGUUAGAGGGUAGCCAGAAACCCAGGAGACCAAGGAGUUAGAAAUCCAAAAAGCGAGGGUGGAUCUCAAUUAAAUGCAUUUAAUUAAAUGUCUAAUAUUUCACUUUAAAUUAUUUUCUUCUCUGUGUCGUGUUGAAACCCUCCUCUGAUACCCCUACAUUUUGAGUAAAAGUCUGUUCCAAAUUGUUUACGGACAUGAAGGAGAAUCCAUAGUGUUCCACAUUUAAGGCAGUGUGGAUCGGAGAGGGGACAGCAAGCAGCCUCAGGAAGCUGCCACUGGAAGCGCAAACCCAGGUGGGAUGAAGGGUCCAGGUGGGAACAGGAGCGUAAGGCCUAGAGCACAGGUAGAACCAGGUAACCCUUGAGAAGUGGGACUGGCCUGGCCCUGAAGUGGAUGUAGGACAGAAAUUCCUUUCCCCAAAUCCACCAGCAGGAAGAAGAGGCUUGAGGAGGGGACAGCCAGAUCUCACUGCUGCAUGGAAUGGAGCCUUCCAGGAAGGCCCACUUCCAAGUAGAAAGCAAGCCCUGAUUCUUGGGGACAGUGGGGAGCAUCUUCCCAACCACAGCGCCUGGCCUCCCUCCCAUGAAGGAGAUGAUUCAGAAUUCCCUUUUUGAGGCUCAUUCUUCAUUAUCCCCAUUCUGUUCUGAAAGAUAACUAGGCUACUUACCCUUUUGACUCCUGCCUGCUUCUGGAAAGUUCCUUAAAAAGUGCGAGUUUUCUAACGGCGCCCAGUCUCUCUAGUCUGAUGGGCGCGUAGAAGUGUCUGACGUCUCUCCUGGCUCCAUGAGGCUGUUGGAUGGAGGGCACGCCCAGCCGUUUCCCUGUCUCCCUCCGGCCUGUGUGGUUUGGCUCCCCCUGGUGGCAGCGACGAGAACAAGCAGCCUAGCUGCUGCUUAGGUCGACGGAAUGACGCUCAGUUUGUAGCAGUCUGGAAGUCGCUUCUCCCCAGGUGCUUCCUGUAGGUCUCCCCUGCGCCGGAGUUUUCCCCUCCUGGCGGAACGCAUCUGGGGAAGCUGCCUCUCUGACUAAUAGCCAGUACAAAGGUCUUUGAACUUGUAUGGUCGGGUCAGUUUUUAUAGCUUCUCUGUGACAUGACACUCUUGCUUUUGGCUGGAGCCCUGGGUCACAUCAAAGUGAAGAAAACCCGUUUCUGUCUGCAGUGGCAUUUUCAGACAAUGUCAAAGAUGAGAAGAGACAGACUAGAGCAGAUGUGGCAGAAGGAUGGGUCCCAGCGUGGCUCCAUCUUAAUAGAUGGCUGGCUGCCCUCCAGGUGGCGGAUGUGCUGAGGUGGGGAGAAUCAUCUUGUUUUUGAGGGGCAGGAUUUCUUAUUAGGGCAAAGGGUAAAUGCCUUACUUUAUAGCAUCUUGUCAGAAGUUUGCAGUAAAUGGCACAAUACUAGCUUUUCAUGACUAAUGUGUGAAGCAUUGUUCUCGAUACCUUCAGAAACCUCUAAAUAUUUUGGAUAAAUGGAACAAAAUGGUUUAUUAAACAUUUUUAAAGAUAGCUCUACAGAAAAAUAAAAAAGUGAUGAACACUUCAAUAAAAAUAAGCAAGACCAUGAGCAGACCAUCCAGAGAACAUUUUCAGUCCUUGUCUGAUUUUGCUUCUUAGCAUCUGUGUUUUUUUUUUUUUGAGGAAGAUUAGCUCUGAGCUAACAUCUGCCACCAAUCCUCCUCUUUUUUUUUUUCUUUUUGCUGAGGAAGGCUGCCCCUGAGCUAACAUCUGUGCCCAUCUUCCUCCACUUUAUAUGUGGGAUGCCUACCACCUCAUGGCUUGCCAAGCGGUGCCAUGCACCUGGGAUCUGAACUGGCGAACCCCGAGCUGCCGAAGUGGAACGUGUGCACUUAACUGCUGUGCCAGCGGCCCGGCCCCGAGAUGCAAACUGCAGUUUAUUCAGGCUUUAGAGUGACAAUUGGUGCUUUGUUCUGGGCAGAGGCAGGGGUGUCCGUGGAACCCAAGGGAGCUGGGCCCAGACAGGUUGGAGGGACUUCCCGCACCCCCUUACCCUCAAUAAUUAAAGUUUCAGCUGCAGCUCACGGUGCUGGCACAAGCAUGGUGUGCCAAGCGGUGCCGUGUCCACACCGGGGAUCCGAACCAGCGAACCCCAGGCCGCUGAAGCAGAACGUGCACACUUAACCACUGAGCCACCGGGCCGGCCCCAGUACAUUUUCCUUUAUGUAUAGUAAAGUAUAACUGCACAUACACAGACGCUCACACAAAAGGUAUGCUCCUAUUUUAUUCGUUUAACAUUUUGUUCUUUUUGUUAAAGCCAGUAAUUCAAGAUAGUUGCAACAGAGGGCAGAAUUGUGUAGGAAAUUUAAACACCUUUUCCUCCUUGCCUGAAAAUCGCCCCCGAAUACAAAUGAGAGCAACAGACACAUUGAGCUAUAGAAAUACUCUUUUUUGAUUCUCUGGUUUUCCGAAUUUACAUACCAAGAUUACUUAAAAGCACUAGAGUUAUUUUUCAUGUCAUAGUUUAAAAUACUUGGGAAUAUAUGCAAACCUUAAUAAAAGCAAAAUGCUGAUCUCUUGGGAGACACAGCACCA